rnacentral:lncRNA from 1 species
GCCCACCAAACCAAUUCAAAACGUCACAAUCAUCAAUAUUGCAGAUUCAAUUAGCAGAUACGAGCACUACUAAUCAGAAAUUCGAAAGUGUUACCUUCAAGACUUUGAGCUUCAUGCUCCCGUAGAGGAGACCCACGCUGAACGCCGAAGCACGAGCCACCUGAUCCAAAAGACUCAGAUUAAUCACACAAACUCACAAAAAUCGAAUCGUAGAGCGAUAGAGAGAGAUGAUAUACGAGAGCAAGGGAGCUGGUGCCGGAGUAAAGUCCUGGAGGCAACGCCAUUGAUUCAGAGAAGAGAAGAAAACAACCCUAAUAUGAUCCCAAAUCAAUCGCAAUCUCAAUUAUGCCUUUUCUUCUCUUCCUUUUUACUUACCUUACAAACUUAUUUCUUGGGCCUAUAAUGGGCCAACAUUUAAUAUAGUAAUUGGGUUAUAGUAUAGUUCUUGGACCUUGUUAGAUCAAAAACACUUGUAAGUUGUAAUUAU